rnacentral:rRNA from 1 species
AUUGAACGCUAGCGGGAUGCCUUACACAUGCAAGUCGAACGGCUUGGCGAACGGGUGAGUAAUGUAUCUGUCCGUGCCCCGUCGCGGUGGAUAACUACGCGAACGCGUAGCUAUUACCGCAUCCUAUUGGAGCGGCCGAUAUCGGAUUAGCUUGUUGGUGGGGUAACGGCCCCCCAGGGCCACGAUCCGUGGCUGGUUUGAGAGGACGACCAGCCACACUGGGACUGAGACACGGCCCAGACUCCUACGGGAGGCAGCAGGGGGGAAUGUUGGACAAGGGGGGAAACCCUGAUCCAGCCAUCCCGCGUGUGCGAUGAAGGCCUUCGGGUUGAAAAGCACUUUUGGCAGGAAAGCGGUACCUGCAGAAUAAGCACCGGCUAACUACGUGCCAGCGCCGCGGUAAUUC